AAUCCCAGGAAAGGCAGGAGGGCACUCCUCCAAUGGGAACCUGGAGCCGUCGGUAGCGGUGGCGGCCUGCGACCUCGCAAUAGCUCCGGCAGGCGGGAGGGACGCGUCCAGUGCUUUCGCGAGGUCCUGCUGCCUGCCGCUGGAACCUGGUCGAGCGAGGCAGCGGCGACGCCGACGGUCUGAAGUUCCCGGUCAGCGGGUUGCGGAGGAUCGUGCGGGUAGCAAAGGGAGGGCGAGUGCUCCUGCGGCCCCAGACGGCAACCAGAACAUACAUCAUUGUUAGAAUCAUCACCCUGCAGCUAGCUUGGACACCAUUAAAAGGGCUCAUCAACUGCAAACGGAUAGAAGUAUCUGAUAUUCGUGAAGACAGAGUUUCAGGGCUUCUGCCUGGAGCUACACUCUCCAGAAGCCCCUGCUUGGCCUCUCUGCACCCAACCCCACCCCAACCAGUCACAGCUUGGGUCGUGUGUGGUGUUUCUUGGCAACUGGAAAACAGACUCCUCCAGCAGCUCCACAGGCCCCUUGUCCUCACUGAGCAGAAGACUACAGAAGCUGGCUACUGAAGAAGCUGUCCAAGUCUUAGAGCUCCUCCUUGGCCCUGCUUAGCACACUUACCACAGAGCAGUAACCGAGUGCUGGCUGUUACUCAUUUGCGCUUACUACCUGCAGGGACUUCAGAGGGAUUUGUCAGACCCCAUUUCACCCUAAGGCCACUCCCUAAGAAUCUCCACAGGAGGCUACCCAUAGAGAGAGGUGGCUUGCCUAGGGUCUCCACUGCCUUAGGUCAUACGUGGACACUUCCAGGGCUAAGGGGAUUAAUAUCUUUUUGCCUACCUGUAACCCACAUAUCCAUUGGAAAAUUCUGCCUCCUGCUAUUUUCUGUUCUUUUAUUUGUUUUUUGGUAGGAAGAGUUUUAACUACUUCUUCAGUUCCUUUAAUAGUUGGAGGAUUAUUCAGGAUUUCUUUUUCUUCUUGCGUUAAUUUUGGUAAGUUAUAGUUUUCUAGGAAUUGGUCCAUUUUGUCUGUGUUCUCAAACUUGUCGGCAUAAAGUUUCCUUGUUUUUUUGUUCUCUGUUCUAUCUGUAGUUAUGUCUCCUUUUUCAUUGCUGAUAUUGGUUAUUUGUGCUUUCUCACUUUUUUUCUUGAUCAAUCUCUCCAGAGGUUUGUCUAUUUUAUUAGUCUUUUCAAAGAACCAGCUUUUGGCUUUGUUGCUCCUCUCUAUUGUGUCUUUGUUUUCUAUUUCUUUAAUUUCUGCUCUUAUCUUUUUUGAUCUCCUUCCUUCCACAUUUUUUGGAUUUAUUCUGUUGUUCUUUUUCUAAUUUCUUAAAUUGGGCACAGAGCUCAUUAAUUUUUGUGCAUUUAAGGACAUAACUUUCCCUCUAACUACUGCUUUUCUUCAAGUUCAGACAUGUCGUAUUUUAUUAUUGUUCGGUUCCAAGUACUCAGCAUUUCCAUCGUGGUUACUUCUUUGACCUGCGAGAAGUGUGUUUCUAAAUAUUUGGAGAUUUAAAAUUUUACCUCUUUGUUAUUGAAAUUUGUCUUAAUUGCAUUAUGAUCAGAGGAUGUGAUCUGUGUGAUAAAAGCUCUGAAAUUUAUUGAGACUUGUUUUAUGGCUUAGUACGUGAUCAGUAUUUUUGAAUGUUUCCUAUGUGAUUUAUAAGAAUGUAUGUUCUCUAAUUGUUGAAUACAGAGUUCUACAUAUGUCUAUUAUCAAGUUUGUUAAUUGUAUUGUUCACAUUUUCUAUAUCUACUGAUUUUCGGGGGGUCGUACUAUACCAUGAAUUGUAAGGUGUGUUAAUAUUCAGUUCUGAUGGUGGAUUUAUCUGUUUCUUCUUGUAAUUCUCUUUUUCUUUACAUGUUUUGAGGGUAUUUUAUUAGGAAUAUUCAAAUCAAGAAUUGUUAUAUAUUCCUGCUAAACAUGUAUGACGUUCUCUAUUCCUGAUAAUGCAUUUUUCCUUGAAGUCUAUUGUAUCUUACAGUAAUAUAGAAACACAGACUUUUCUCCUGUUAGGAUUUGUGUUACUUUGAAACAUUUUCAUGCCUUAAUACUUUAAUUAUGUCUCUUGGGAAUGGCAUACAGCUGGACCUUUUAAAAAUCGAAUCUAAUGCUCUCUAUCUUUUAAUGGGCAAGUUUAGUCUGUUUACAUAUAUUGUGAAAUAUUUGGAUUUUUCUCUACCGUCAUAGUUUUUUAUUUCUAUUUCCUACCACCACCUUUGUGAUGCUUCAUUUUUCUCUUUUUUUGCCUGCUUUUUUCAUUUGUUUGUUUCCUUAUUCUAUUUUUUUCCUCAUUGCGGUUUGGAAUUUACCUGUUCUUUUCCCAUUAUUUCUGUGGUUAUCCUUGAGGUUUUGCUGUGCACAUAUAACUUAUAAGUUUUUAAGUUAAAACAGUGCUGGAGUUCCCAUCAUGGUGCAGUGGAAACGAAUCCGACUAGGAACCAUGAGGUUGCGGGUUCGAUUCCUGACCUUGCUCAGUGGGUUAAGGAUCCGGCAUUGCCAUGAACUGUGGUGUAGGUCGCAGACAUGGCUUGGAUCUAAUGUGGCUAUGGCUGUGGUGUAGGCCUGCAGCCGUAGCUCCAAUUCGACCCCUAGCCUGGGAACCUCCAUGUGCCAUGGGUAUGGCCCUAAAAAACAAACAUAAAUCAAUCAAUCAAUAAAGUUAAACAGUACUUUAACAUCCUUCUUGAAUGCGAGAAGCUUAGAAACAUUCAACUCUAGUCAUUCCUCUCUUGGACCACGUGUUAUUUUUUUGAGUAUAUUUAUUUCCUCCCUUUCCCCCCCUAACCUCACAAAUUCUAUAUCAUCCUUAGUAUUAUUUUAUGUAGAUGGUGUGUGUUUGGAUUUUCAUGCAUAUAUUCUUGCAUCUCAGACCAUCAUUCUGGGAUCAUUUUCCUUCAUUAUGAAUACAGUGUUGAGAUGCCCUUUUAGUACAGAUUUGUUGGUGUUAAAUUCUCCCAGUCUUUAUUAUAUGUAAAUGUCUUUAUUCUAUACUCAUUCUUAAAAGAUAGAUUGUUAUAGGUAAUAUUAGAAGUCCAUUGUCAGUCUAAUUACUAUUUUUGUAGGUGUUUUUGUUUUCUGGGUAUUCUCAAGGUCUCUCUCUCUCAUGGAGGAGAAUGUUCAGGGGGUUCUGCACUUUCAUUCUAUUAGUGUUUCGGUAUGUAUUUCUUUUUUAUUUAUUGUACUUUGGAAAUGUGCUUCAUGCCUCUGGAUUCAUGUUUUUCAUAAUUUCUAGAAAGUUCUCAGUCAUUAUCUCUUCAAAUAUUGCCUUUCCUCCAUUAUUUCUAUGUUUUCUUUCUCAGAAUUCAGUUAGUCAUAUUUUGCAUCUCUUCAUUCUAUCUUCCAUAUCUCGUAACAUCUCAUUGAUAUUUUCUAUCUUGUCUUCUUGCACUUCAUUGUGGACAAUUUCUUCAGAUAUAUCUUUCAGCUUAUUGAUUCUCUCUUCAGCUGUGUCUGAUCUGCUGUUUAAUCUGUCCACAGAAUUUUUUAUUUCAACAAUGGUAUUUUUCAUUUGUACAGCCUUCAUAUAUUUCACUUACCAAUCUGCCUGGUCAUCUCUUAAUAGUUUCUUGUUGCUUGCUCAUCUUUGUGGUUGCCUCUGUUAUUUCUUUAAACAUUUUAUACAAUUUUUGUUCAACCAGUGUCACUGUUUGCCUGAGUAUGGCAUUGUAAAUAUUGUUCACAUCCAGACUACAUAGUACAGUCUAAUGACAUAUCCUUUGUUACAUACCUUUUUGUUUUCCUAGUAAUUCCCUCGUUUUUUUGGUUUGUUUUUUUUUUCUUUUGCCUAGUGUUCUAAUACCAUUACUAGGUCUUCUCUGAAAUUCUUUUAAAAAUCCCUAUCAGGCUGUGUCCCUCCUCUGCUCAAAAUUCUCCCAUAACUCCCAUCUCCCUCAGAAUAAAAGCCAAAGCUCUCACCAUGGCCCCAAAGUUUCUACACAAGCUGGUCCCCAUAACCUCUCUGACCUGGCCUCAUAUCACUCUUCCCAUCACUCACUCUUCUCCAGCCACAUUGGCCUCCUUGCUGUCCCUUAAACAUGCCAGAUAUCCCCCCUCUUCAGAGCCUUUGUACUUGCUGUUAUCACUGUCUGGAACACUCUAAAUUGUAGAUAAUCUGAUGACUUGCCCACCCACUUCUAGUAUGCUCAAAUGUCACCUCCCUCGAGAAGCAUUCCCUAACCACCAUAUCUAAAAUAACCCCAUUCACCAGCACUUUCAUCAUCCCCUUAUCCUAUUUAUGGCUUAUGUUUUUCUGCAGAGCACUGAUCACCACCUGAUAUAUUUAUUUAUUUAUUGUGAUUAGUGUUUGUCUGUCCCCAAUAGACUGUAAGCUCCACAAAGCAGGACUCUUGUUUUUGUUCUUUGCUGUAUCCCCAGUGCCGAGAACAGUGCAUAGUAAUAUUGAGUAGAUACUCAAUAAAUAUUUGUGGAAUAAACUGAAUGAAUUAAUG
rnacentral:lncRNA from 1 species